rnacentral:tRNA from 1 species
GCUCAGGUGGUGGAAUGGCAGACACGCUAGAUUCAGGUUCUAGUGCCCUCACGGGCUUAAGGGUUCAAGUCCCUUCCUGAGCA